CCCGGGCCUUAGUUUGGGGACCCCUGCAUUAAGUAAAGACUCAAAACUCUUGUUCUUACAACAGGCAUGUUACAGAAUCAGAGCGAGAGGAGACCACAAGAACCAUCCAGUCCAACCCCCUGUCAUGCAGGAACACACAAAGCACUUUCAACAGAUGGCCAUCCAUCCCGUUUAAAAACUUCCAGAACAGGAAAUCACCACUCUCCGAGGUACACCACGAGUGUUGAUGUCAAUCGGCAGGGGAAGAUCCAUCAAGCCUCCAGCUUAUCAAGGCCAUCUGUGUCCAGCAGGGUGAGUGAUGGGAUGCUCACAACUGGUCCACUGCAGGGUGAGGAAAAUCUUAUAUACAGAAAUGACACCACUUUUAGAGAUUGA
rnacentral:lncRNA from 11 species